GCCGGUGUGGUGCAAUUGGUAGCACGCCGACCUCUCGUAAUGCCCCCAUACGGAGUUGAGAGGAGACCUGCGGGCCCACACGCCACAAAGGUCAUGGAGAUCGAGGUUCAAAUCCUCGCACCAGCA